AGCCAGGCCAGGUCCUGUCACACGGGCACUCCUAACGCAGAGGUCACUGUCCGAGACAGGCCAGGUCCUGUCACACGGGCACUCCUAACGUAGAGGUCAUUGUCACAGACAGGCCAGGUCCUGUCACACGGGCACUCUCAACGUAGAGGUCAUUGUCACAGACAGGCCAGGUCCUGUCACACGGGCACUCCUAACGUAGAGGUCAUUGUCUGAGACAGGCCAGGUCCUGUCACACGGGCACUCCUAACAUAGAGGUCAUUGUCCGAGAUAGGCCAGGUCCUGUCACACGGGCACUCUCAACGUAGAGGUCAUUGUCCGAGACAGGCCAGGUCCUGUCACACGGGCACUCCUAACGUAGAGGUCAUUGUCUGAGACAGGCCAGGUCCUGUCACACGGGCACUCCUAACAUAGAGGUCAUUGUCUGAGACAGGCCAGGUCCUGUCACACGGGCACUCCUAACGUAGAGGUCAUUGUCUGAGACAGGCCAGGUCCUGUCACACGGGCACUCCUAAC